CGUAGGGUGCGAGCGUUAAUCGGAAUUACUGGGCGUAAAGUGUGCGCAGGUGGCCGCGCAAGUCGAGUGUGAAAUCCCCGAGCUUAACUUGGGAAUUGCGCUCGAAACUACGUGGCUCGAGUGUGGCAGAGGAAGGUGGAAUUCCACGUGUAGCGGUGAAAUGCGUAGAGAUGUGGAGGAACACCGAUGGCGAAGGCAGCCUUCUGGGCCAACACUGACGCUCAUGCACGAAAGCGUGGGGAGCAAACAGGAUUAGAUACCCUGGUAGUCCACGCCCUAAACGAUGAUGACUAGUUGUUGGAGGAGUUAAAUCCUUUAGUAACGCAGCUAACGCGUGAAGUCAUCCGCCUGGGGAGUACGGUCGCAAGAUUA
rnacentral:rRNA from 1 species